UAAAAUAUUAUUGUGAAAAAGACUAUUGUGAAAGGGACAGAACUGAGCGCUUACUUACCCAUCAGCUCCAUAUCGAUGCCGGGGUCUUUGUUCAACGACUUGGGAUUGCUGAACAUAUCAAUGUAUUUGCAACGUUCUGGAAAAAUAUUUUUUGUAAAUAUUUUUUAUUAUUGGUCGAGGGCCCGUUUGCGAUUGGCGAAAUAGUGUUUUAAGUGAAUAUGCCAAUAAAGGAAUAAAAAUUAAUAAUUAAUAAAGAAAAAUGAAAAAACAUAGGAAAAAAUGUAUUUAAUAAAAUUAAUAAAGUAUUAUUAAUUAAAGUGUAUUUGGAAUAUAAUAAAUAUGUGAUUCAUGAAAAAAGGAAAGAUAGUGCAGAACAAUUAAAAUGGUGCAAGAAUAUUAAUAUAGUGAAUUUCAAUGUGAUAAAUAAGUGAAAGCAAAUUAUUUAACAGAAAUAGUUUAAUUUGCCGUUAAACGCCGAUAAUUUCUAUCACGGACGUGAGUUGCAGAAGAGCAGAGACACCUGCUCAGCUCAUUUCGAUUUAUGAGUGAAUAGAAAGCGUUGAAUUUCACUCAAAUGACGACUAUUUGCCGAGCAAAAAUCAUCAGGUGUGAACAUCGCUCGACUUUUUCAAAUUUUCAAAUGGAUUAUGCGCAGAAUCUCUUAAUAUCCUAUGCUUGGGAGAGAUGAAAACUUUCAGAGCAGCGUUUGGCGCAAACACUCAGCUGCGACACUGAAACGUCAACUGCGAGCGAAGCAACAGCAGCUGUCACCGUUGCAAAGGACGGAACAUUC